AGCUAGUUGGUGAGGUAAUGGCUCACCAAGGCGACGAUGCGUAGCCGACCUGAGAGGGUGAUCGGCCACACUGGGACUGAGACACGGCCCAGACUCCUACGGGAGGCAGCAGUAGGGAAUCUUCCGCAAUGGACGAAAGUCUGACGGAGCAACGCCGCGUGAACGAAGAAGGCCUUCGGGUCGUAAAGUUCUGUUGUUAGGGAAGAACAAGUACCAGAGUAACUGCUGGUACCUUGACGGUACCUAACCAGAAAGCCACGGCUAACUACGUGCC
rnacentral:rRNA from 1 species